UACGUAGGGUGCGAGCGUUAAUCGGAAUUACUGGGCGUAAAGCGUGUGCAGGCGGUUGUGUAAGCCAGAUGUGAAAUCCCCGGGCUUAACCUGGGAAUGGCAUUUGGGACUGCAAGGCUCGAGUGCGGCAGAGGAGACUGGAAUUCCUGGUGUAGCAGUGAAAUGCGUAGAUAUCAGGAGGAACACCGAUGGCGAAGGCAGGUCUCUGGGCUGACACUGACGCUCAUGCACGAAAGCGUGGGGAGCAAACAGG
rnacentral:rRNA from 1 species